rnacentral:rRNA from 1 species
GACGAACGCUGGCGGCAUGCCUAACACAUGCAAGUCUAGGGGUAGCAAUACCACUGGCGCACGGGUGAGUAACACGUAGGUUAUCUGCCCCCAUCACAGACAUAACCCCGGGAACCGGGGCUAAUAUCUGAUGAGGUCGCGAGAUCAAAGCUUCGGCGGAUGGGGAUGAGCCUGCGGCUGAUUAGCUAGUUGGUGAGGUAAUGGCUCACCAAGGCGACGAUCAGUAGCUGGUCUGAGAGGACGAACAGCCACACUGGAACUGAGACACGGUCCAGACUCCUACGGGAGGCAGCAGUGAGGAAUAUUGGUCAAUGGGAGCAAUCCCGAACCAGCAAUGCCGCGUGUGGGAUGACAGGGCUUCGCCUUGUAAACCACUGUCGGACGGGACGAAAGGAGGCCUCGGGCCUCUGGGACGGUACCGUCAAAGGAAGGGUCGGCUAACUACGUGCCAGCAGCCGCGGUAAU